UACGUAGGGUCCGAGCGUUGUCCGGAAUUAUUGGGCGUAAAGGGCGCGUAGGCGGCCGGCCAAGUCGGGGGUGAAAGCCUGUGGCUCAACCACAGAAUGGCCCUCGAUACUGGACGGCUCGAGACCGGAAGAGGUUGGUGGAAUUGCGAGUGUAGAGGUGAAAUUCGUAGAUAUUCGCAAGAACACCAGUGGCGAAGGCGGCUCACUGGCCCGAUACUGACGCUG
rnacentral:rRNA from 1 species